ensembl:lncRNA
GUUCAGUGAAGACCACUUCGCCUCUGCCCGGAGGCCCACCGUUGCAGCUAGCAGAACUCUGUACCGAGGGCAGCGUUUGUACUGGAACUCCAUUCAUCAUGUUUACCAAAAGGAUGCUUGUGAGGACAAAGGCGUGGGGGCUCUGUCUACUGGGACUAUUCCUUGAAACAAAUUCUCCCCUUCAAUCCAUUCAGAACAGUAUGUGGAAGACAGAAGAGAGAAUUGGUGGACAGAACCAACUUUGCCAUCAGACAAUCUGAAAUUGAAUCUUCCUUCUGCUUCUAAGUUGUCAUCUACCUUCUCUGAACCUCAGUUUCCACAAGUCCAGCAGGCACCUCAGGAUAGGCCUUCUCUAUUUGUUUGUGGUGAGAAUUAAGUGAGAUAACCUCUGUAAAGGUCUCUCCACGGUGCCUGACUUUGAUAGACCUUGAAGAAACACAAGGAGAUGGAGGGGAGGUCAAGUUCACUGAGGCAUUGUGGAGACCUUCCCUCCGUGGCCCUUAUCUUCUUGGAAUCAUGAAACUGAAGGGGAGCUUAGGGACCACGCACUUGCUUCUCAAAUGUUAGUGCACACCUCAAUCACCUAAGGAACUUUCUGUUUUAAAAUCUAGAUUCUUGGGCCCUUCCCCCAUGUCUACUCAAUUAGAACCUCUGGGAUGGAUUUCUGACCUUAGUAUGUUUAAAAAAAACAGCUCCCAAGUGAUUCUAGUUAAGACACCAGAUGUGAUGCCUUCUGAUUUAACCUGUACUGUGCUGCGUGCUUUGGAGAAGGAAAUGGCAACCCACUCCAGUGUUCCUGCCUGGAGAAUCCCAGGGAUGGUGGAGCCUGGUGGGCUGCCGUCUAUGGGGUCGCACAGAGUCGGACACGACUGAAGCGACUUAGCAGCAGCAGUGCUGCGCGCUUAGUCACUCAGUCGAGUCUGACUCUUUCCGACCCUAUGGACUGUAGCCCACCAGGUUCCCCUGGGAUUCUCCAAGCAAGAAUACUGGAAUGGGUUGCCACUUCCUUCUCCAGGAUAUCUUCCCAACCCAGGGAUCGAACCCAGGUCUCCCAUAUUACAGGUAGAUUCUUUACCGUCUGAGUCACCAGGGAAGCUGAAUACUGGAGUGCAUAGCCUAUCCCUUCCCCAGGGAAUCUUCCCGACCCAGGAAUAGAACUGAGGUCUCCAGAAUUGCAGGUGGAUUCUUUACCAGCUGAGCCACCAGGGAAGCCCUCUGAUUUAACCUGCUCUCCAUCAAAUGAAAACAAAUCUCCUCUUCAUCACCCCUGCUCCAGCCCCUUCAGGGCACAUCAGUUGCUCUUAAACAGAUGGGAUCUUGUGCUGUCUCAGACCAGUUGUUAGACAGUGUUUUCUGAAGGUCAGAAAUCUUAUUUCUAUGCUCCCAAUUUACUUCUUAGUAUGAAAAAACCCUUCUUAUGUAAUAACUUUCCU